rnacentral:rRNA from 1 species
UACGGGGGGGGCAAGCGUUGUUCGGAAUUACUGAGCGUAAAGGGCUCGUAGGCGGCCAACUCAGUCUGACGUGAAAUCCCUCGGCUUAACCGGGGAAUGGCGUCCGAUACUGGAUGGCUCGAGUGUGGGAGAGGGAUGCGGAAUUCCAGGUGUAGCGGUGAAAUGCGUAGAUAUCUGGAGGAACACCGGUGGCGAAGGCGGCAUCCUGGACCACGACUGACGCUGAGGAGCGAAAGCCAGGGGAG